CCCUUAGAUGUCCUGGGCCGCACGCGCGCUACACUGACAUGUUCAACAAGUUUCUCCUAGUUCGACAGGACUGGGAAAUCUUUGAACGCAUGUCGUGAUAGGGAUAGAUCAUUGCAAUUAUUGAUCUUGAACGAGGAAUUCCUAGUAAACGCGAGUCAUCAGCUCGUAUUGAUUACGUCCCUGCCCUUUGUACACACCGCCCGUCGCACCUACCGAUUGAAUGUUUCGGUGAAGAUUCCGGAUAGGACUGAUUUGAUUUAUUUCAUUUCUGACCUAAAAGCUAUCUAAACCUCAACAUUUAGAGGAAGGUGAAGUCGUAACA
rnacentral:rRNA from 1 species